rnacentral:rRNA from 1 species
UACGUAGGGGGCGAGCGUUGUCCGAAGUUACUGGGCGUAAAGCGCGUGUAGGCGGCCAGGUAGGUCUGCUGUGAAAACUCGAGGCUCAACCUCGAGAUGUCGGCAGAAACCCUCUGGCUAGAGUUCGGAAGAGGAGAGUGGAAUUCCCGGUGUAGCGGUGAAAUGCGCAGAUAUCGGGAAGAACACCCGUGGCGAAGGCGGCUCUCUGGGACGGUACUGACGCUGAGACGCGAAAGCGUGGGGAGCGAACAGG